rnacentral:rRNA from 1 species
AGCUCCAAUAGCGUAUAUUAAAGUUGUUGCGGUUAAAAGCUCGUAGUUGGAUUUCUGUUGAGGACUGCCGGUCCAUGUUUUGCAUGAGAAUCGGUUUGGCCUCGGCAUCCUCUUGGGAAACGUUGCAGUGCUUUAUUGCGUUGUGCGGUUUUCAAGACUUUUACUUUGAGGAAAUUAGAGUGUUCACGGCAGGCUUUCGCCCUGAAUACAUUAGCAUGGAAUAAUACUAUAGGAUCUCGGUUCUAUUUUGUUGGUUUCUAGAGCUGAGGUAAUGAUUAAUAGGGAUAAUUGGGGGCAUUCGUAUUGACACGUCAGAGGUGAAAUUCUUGGAUUGUGUCACGACGAACUACUGCGAAAGCAUUUGCCAAGGAUGUUUUCA